AAAUUCUGUAGCAUGAUGAUAAAAUAAAAUUGAAGUUUUGGUCAUAAUUUCCAGUUAUGUCAGGAGGAAAGGGACGCGUGUACAGACGCUCCAGGUCACACAUGUUCAUGAGGUAAUUCCUCCAAUUACUACAGAUCUGUAUGGAAACUGUUCAAGAUGAACAAAGAAAAUAGAAAAUUAAUUCUCUUUAAUUCUUCAGGCAUAUUUAAAAUGGAAACACUUUUGAUAAUCUCCACUAAAACAGAAUCCAUCUCAGACGUUGGAAUGUGUGUGUACAGUUACAGUGUGUAUAAGAAACUGGUUUCAACUGUGUUCUUAUUUAAUCCAAGACAAACUUUAAUUAAAAAUAUUUUCUAGUGCUGUUCAUCGAAUAUUCAGAAGAAUUGGCAACAUAUUUCCGUUCAUUGUCAUGUAGCUUAUCUUUUUCUGAUCAUUGUCUUCGUUUUCUAAAGAAGCCAGGAGGUUCUGGGUUCAAAUCCCAGUCCAGGUUCUUUCUGCUGGGACCUUCCAUGUUCUCUGCAGGGACUCUGACUGUUGGGUUAAUUGGUCUCUUAAAAUUACCCUUGGGUAUGAAUGUGUGUGUGCAUGUCUGUUUGUCCUCUGUGUUGUGAUGGGCUGGCAGCGUCUCCAGGGUGUAACCCGCCUCUCACCUGUUGACCUCUGGAGAUAGGUUAAAUAGAUGAUAGAUGUUAAUAUAUAGUUAAUAGAUGGAUAGAAUGUACUGCUUUAUACUGAUUUUGUUUUUAUUUUUCAAUAAUUAAAGAAAGGUUGCAAGAUGAGGUUCUAGCCUUAUCAUUAUUAUUAUUAUUAGUAGUAGUACUGUAGUAGUAGUAGUAAUAUGUUAAUUUCUUUGCACCUUCUGCCUAUAAAUGAAAAUUUUUCCAGUCUCUAAUAUUUCUGUUUUCUGAAUUUUUUUUGAAAGUUUAUGGCAUUGAUUCAAUGAAACUAUUUCUGCAAGACUGACUAAGGCUGUUUGGCGAUCACAUGUGCAUUCAAACCGCACCAGAGUUCACUUCAACCAAAUCGAGGCCAAGUUUUUUUUUUUAUUGCUCAGAGUUUGAUUAAAGAACAAGGCUGGUGUGAAUUCAACGUAAUUCCCAUAUUUCCUAAAAUGUGUCUUGGUUGCAAAGUCAGAUCACAAAAACCAAAUAGGCCAUACAUGUCUGGCCUUUUUAUUAUUAUUAUUAUUAUUUUUUACACACAGUGCUGUUCUUUAGAAGCUCUGUAAGAUUUCCAGAACCUACUUGCGUCUGUAAAAUGUCUGAAAGAUAAGCAAAUAUGAACCAGCACAUUUGUGUGCCGAUAAGAGCCGCUGCAAUUCUGCUCCUAUCCGCAGACGUGAAACACGGCUGCAUGUGAUACGAGUAUCCACGGAAACCAGCCAUCAGGUAGCCGUGUGUAGAGAAAACACUGCGGUCCCAGCGUCAUGCCUCAUGGAAAGAUGCUCCCCCAUGUCUUUUCCCUGGAGCUUCCCGCUGUGAGAGCUCGUCUCCAGCAGAAGAUCUCCCGCCCUGAACAGCUCGUGUCAACAGCAUCUGGGGGAAAAGAGCCGAGCCAAAUUGUCUGUAGAGUCUUGUUUGUGUUUGGAGACUCUGCUCCUGGAAGCCAAGGAGAUGUUGAUGUACAAGACUGUCAUAAUAACGACGGGCAGAUAGAAGGCAGCUAUAGCCGUCCCAAAGGUCACUGCGGGGUUAGAAAGGAACUGGAAGAGGAAACAGAGAAAAGAAAAAAUGUAUCUGUUCACACUCAGAGGACAAACCCAGAAGAUCACACAGGAUUACACAACACAGUGUGUUAGCCUCACAGUUUGACUGGAUCGCAGGAGUCAGCAUAUAGAGAGAAGCGGUCCAGGAUUGAGCUGGCAGCCCUACCAUUGACUGGUGAAAACUGAUCCCAUCUCAUUAAACGGGUGAGCUGCCGCCGUCAGUCUCAGCGCCGGGUUAAGGUCAGUAAGUGUGUUUUUGCAAGAGGAAAAAGGUGAGACGUCGCCUCUGUCAUAAACUUGCACACCACAGUGUCUAAUUUGUCAGUGACAGCUGGGUUACUCUGCGACUACAGCAGUUUGUGUGAGCCUGCUGGUCAGCCGCUGAGAAUAAAGAUGGACGGAAACCAGAAACAAUGCAGCAUUCGUUAAAAGUCCUGAACUUUUAACAAAUACCAGCUCAGACCCCUUAAUACAAACAUGACAUAGAAAACUGUGUUUUCUCAGGGUUGAUAACAAACUGAAGCUUUUGUACUGAACGAUUUCUUUUCAGUUUCCUUUAAGAAACACUGCAUUUUUCUUUUUUCUUAACAGGGUAUUAAACGUGACAUUGCACGCUUUCCUAAAUUCCCCUGGUGGAGUUGAUGGGCACCUGACAAUAUCACAGUGGGCCCACUUUUGUGAGUUAUCUAAUCCUGAUUCACAGACUGAGAAAAACCGCCUCAACUCAACCUGCGCCUGAACGCCUCGCGGAUUUGGUCACCAUGUUUUUCUUCCAAAUACCUUUGGGUUUAUCAUCUUGAUUUUGAAAAGUUCCUGCAGAGUUUCGUUUCAUUUUACUCUGAGGCAAGUAGUUUGGGGUUCAAUUCCCAAUUUGUGACCUUUGGGAAAUGCCACCCUUUCAUGCUCUCUCUGAUUACUGUGAACAAAGAAAAUUUUAAAACUU